UACGUAGGGUGCAAGCGUUAAUCGGAAUUACUGGGCGUAAAGCGUGCGCAGGCGGUUAUGUAAGACAGAUGUGAAAUGCCCGGGCUUAACCUGGGAACUGCAUUUGUGACUGCAUGGCUAGAGUUUGGCAGAGGGGGGGGUAGAAUUCCACGUGUAGCAGUGAAAUGCGUAGAUAUGUGGAGGAACACCGAUGGCGAAGGCAGCCCCCUGGGUCAAGACUGACGCUGAGGAGCGAAAGCGUGGGGAGCGAACAGG
rnacentral:rRNA from 1 species